GGUCAAGCGAACAAGUGCAUGUGGUGGAUGCCUUGGCGAUCACAGGCGAUGAAGGACGCGGUAGCCUGCGAAAAGCUACGGGGAGCUGGCAAACGAGCUUUGAUCCGUAGAUGUCCGAAUGGGGAAACCCGGCCCUUUUGGGUCAUCCUAGACUGAAUACAUAGGUCUAGUGAAGCGAACGCGGUGAACUGAAACAUCUAAGUAACCGCAGGAAAAGAAAUCAACCGAGAUUCCCAAAGUAGUGGCGAGCGAAAUGGGAUGAGCCUUGCACUCUUUAUUUGUAUUGUUAGCCGAACGCUCUGGAAAGUGCGGCCAUAGCAGGUGAUAGCCCUGUAGGCGAAAACAGUAUGAAAGAACUAGGUGUGCGACAAGUAGGGCGGGACACGUGAAAUCCUGUCUGAAGAUGGGGGGACCAUCCUCCAAGGCUAAAUACUCGUGAUCGACCGAUAGUGAACCAGUACCGUGAGGGAAAGGCGAAAAGAACCCCGGGAGGGGAGUGAAAUAGAUCCUGAAACCGCAUGCAUACAAACAGUCGGAGCCUCGUAAGGGGUGACGGCGUACCUUUUGUAUAAUGGGUCAGCGACUUACGUUCAGUAGCAAGCUUAACCGUAUAGGGCAGGCGUAGCGAAAGCGAGUCCGAAUAGGGCGUUCAGUUGCUGGGCGUAGACCCGAAACCAGGUGAUCUAUCCAUGGCCAGGAUGAAGGUGCGGUAACACGUACUGGAGGUCCGAACCCACUAACGUUGAAAAGUUAGGGGAUGAGCUGUGGAUAGGGGUGAAAGGCUAAACAAACCUGGAAAUAGCUGGUUCUCUCCGAAAACUAUUUAGGUAGUGCCUCGUGUCUCACCUUCGGGGGUAGAGCACUGUCAUGGUUGGGGGGUCUAUUGCAGAUUACCCCGCCAUAGCAAACUCCGAAUACCGAAGAGUGCAAUCACGGGAGACAGACAUCGGGUGCUAACGUCCGGUGUCAAGAGGGAAACAACCCAGACCGCCAGCUAAGGUCCCCAAAUAUAGCUAAGUGGGAAACGAAGUGGGAAGGCUAAAACAGUCAGGAGGUUGGCUUAGAAGCAGCCACCCUUUAAAGAAAGCGUAAUAGCUCACUGAUCGAGUCGUCCUGCGCGGAAGAUGUAACGGGGCUAAGCUAUAUACCGAAGCUGCGGAUGCGAGCUUUGCUCGCAUGGUAGGAGAGCGUUCCGUAAGCCUGCGAAGGUGCCUUGUAAAGGGUGCUGGAGGUAUCGGAAGUGCGAAUGCUGACAUGAGUAGCGAUAAAGGGGGUGAAAGGCCCCCUCGCCGUAAGCCCAAGGUUUCCUACGCAACGUUCAUCGGCGUAGGGUGAGUCGGCCCCUAAGGCGAGGCAGAAAUGCGUAGCUGAUGGGAAGCAGGUCAAUAUUCCUGCACCAUUGUUAGAUGCGAUGGGGGGACGGAUCGCGGAAGGUUGUCCGGGUGUUGGAAGUCCCGGUCGCUGCAUUGGAGAAGGCGCUUAGGCAAAUCCGGGCGCGUAAUUCAAGGGUGUGGCGCGAGCUCCUUAGGGAGCGAAGCAAUUGGAAGUGGUUCCAAGAAAAGCCUCUAAGCUUCAGUCUAACGAUGACCGUACCGCAAACCGACACAGGUGGGCGAGAUGAGUAUUCUAAGGCGCUUGAGAGAACUCGGGAGAAGGAACUCGGCAAAUUGGUACCGUAACUUCGGGAUAAGGUACGCCCUUGUAGCUUGACUGGCCUGCGCCAGGAGGGUGAAGGGGUUGCAAUAAACUGGUGGCUGCGACUGUUUAAUAAAAACACAGCACUCUGCAAACACGAAAGUGGACGUAUAGGGUGUGACGCCUGCCCGGUGCCGGAAGAUUAAAUGAUGGGGUGCAAGCUCUUGAUUGAAGUCCCGGUAAACGGCGGCCGUAACUAUAACGGUCCUAAGGUAGCGAAAUUCCUUGUCGGGUAAGUUCCGACCUGCACGAAUGGCGUAACGAUGGCCACACUGUCUCCUCCCGAGACUCAGCGAAGUUGAAGUGUUUGUGAUGAUGCAAUCUACCCGCGGCUAGACGGAAAGACCCCAUGAACCUUUACUGUAGCUUUGCAUUGGACUUUGAACCGAUCUGUGUAGGAUAGGUGGGAGGCUAUGAAACCGGAACGCUAGUUUCGGUGGAGCCGUCCUUGAAAUACCACCCUGGUUUGUUUGAGGUUCUAACCUUGGCCCGUGAUCCGGGUCGGGGACAGUGCAUGGUAGGCAGUUUGACUGGGGCGGUCUCCUCCCAAAGCGUAACGGAGGAGUACGAAGGUACGCUAGGUACGGUCGGAAAUCGUGCUGAUAGUGCAAUGGCAUAAGCGUGCUUAACUGCGAGACCGACAAGUCGAGCAGGUGCGAAAGCAGGUCAUAGUGAUCCGGUGGUUCUGUAUGGAAGGGCCAUCGCUCAACGGAUAAAAGGUACUCUGGGGAUAACAGGCUGAUACCGCCCAAGAGUUCAUAUCGACGGCGGUGUUUGGCACCUCGAUGUCGGCUCAUCUCAUCCUGGGGCUGUAGCCGGUCCCAAGGGUAUGGCUGUUCGCCAUUUAAAGAGGUACGUGAGCUGGGUUUAAAACGUCGUGAGACAGUUUGGUCCCUAUCUGCCGUGGGCGUUGGAUAUUUGAAGGGGGCUGCUCCUAGUACGAGAGGACCGGAGUGGACGAACCUCUGGUGUACCGGUUGUCACGCCAGUGGCAUCGCCGGGUAGCUAUGUUCGGAAGAGAUAACCGCUGAAAGCAUCUAAGCGGGAAACUCGCCUUAAGAUGAGAUAUCCCUGG
rnacentral:rRNA from 1 species